rnacentral:rRNA from 1 species
UACGUAGGGGGCAAGCGUUGUCCGGAUUUAUUGGGCGUAAAGAGCGUGUAGGCGGUUCGGUAGGUCCGUUGUGAAAACUCGAGGCUCAACCUCGAGACGCCGAUGGAAACCAUCGAACUAGAGUCCGGAAGAGGAGAGUGGAAUUCCUGGUGUAGCGGUGAAAUGCGCAGAUAUCAGGAAGAACACCCGUGGCGAAGGCGGCUCUCUGGGACGGUACUGACGCUGAGACGCGAAAGCGUGGGGAGCGAACAGG